AACAUCUAAUCCCCUAAUCACAACUAUCAAUCACCCAAAAUUUGCACACAUUGAUCAUUUUUACCAAAACCUAUCACAAGCUAUGAUGAUUACAAUGAACUAUCAAUACCUAUUUCUAGGAAAUCAGACUAUCACUGCAAUACAAAUCGAGUCAAACAAACAAAUCCCAUCAUUCCAUCUUUCUAUCAUAACUGCUUAGAAAUCAUUAAAGCUCUCAAGGUACUUUUCCAAUGAGAACUCUCCAUCAGAUUUAUAAAAGUCAACCUGAACGUCCAUCAAAAUCUGCAGUUUAAGUUACCACAAUAAGACAAUUCUCAGUGUACUAUCACGCUAUCACUUGCCUUGUAAGCAUUUACGAUUAAGAUUGCCCUGGGGUUUGAGAAAUCAAAAAGAGUCAAUUAAAAACCAAAAACACUACCAACAAUUUAAUUCUUCGAAAGAACUUCAAUAAAGACCAGAAGAUAAACCUGGUUAAAGGCGAAUUAAAAAAAAAAAUUUGCAACCCGAGUCAGCGAAAAUUCUAAAAAUAUCAUCCUGAACUCAGCACGUGGACAGACCAAGUGGUAAACUGUAAUGGGCAGUCAAAAGUUCCCUUGUUAACGAUGGGCGGGCAGGGGAGGCCUGCCUUUUUAUCAAUGCAGAGAUGGAAAGCAGCAGAAGUGAAGAAAAUUCUUUAACAAAUCAUUGCGAGCUAAAUUGCCAAACUGCAAAACACCGCGUUACUCUUUAGGUUAGCCUUCCCCAAGAAGAAAAAUGAUUUUUUAAAUUUAAAUUAUUCCAGUAGGAUCCAAAGAAGGCUAAGGGCCCGGCUGGAAACAGAAAGGGAAAGUUUGGGGGCAGCACGUAAGAAGGCGGUGGAAGUUCCAGAGCCCGGAUCCCGGAGGGGGCGAGAGGGGCGAGAGCAGCGGCUGAGGCCGCCGGCUGGAGGAGGGGAGCACAGCUGCCGCUGCCGCUGCCGGUCCCGGUCCCGGUCCCGGUCCCGGAGCGAGCGUGAAAAGGAAGAGGAGGUGGCCGAGAGGAGAAUGGAAGACGCUUCAGCGCCGGACUGAGAGCCCUAGCUUCUUGCUGGAUGGAAACUGCCCUCAGCUCGUAGAGGCCACCUGCAGUUCCUUGCCAUGAAGCUUGUGUUAAUGAAAAUCACAGAACAGUAAGCAACAAGACAUGGCUGUGAAUGAAGUGGGCAAGGUGAGACAUGAGAAGCCACAAAAUCUCAAAAGUCCUCAUGAGACAAAGUGCCACAAGUAAGGUAAGUGGUCAGAAGAUAUGAAAAUUCACAAGUCAGAAAUUGGACAUAUAGGAACUAGGGGCCAAGGUAAGACUGUGAAUUCUCAGCCAAACUCUGAGGAAUAUAACCUAAGACAUCAGCAAGAGAAGAGCACAUCAAACAGGUAAUUCCUACCUCAGACAUAAAGCCUUUUAUAUACUUCCUCCUGGAACAGGAGUCAACCAUAGAGCCUAUCUAGUCCAGCAUUUUGAAUAGGAAACACACAAGUUGUAUUACUAUUGGAAAAUAGUGAAUCAGUUGUUGAAUAGAUUAGAGGAGUAUAGCUAUCAGAAAUAUGGGGAAAUCCUGACAACUGUAAAAUUAUUUUCACAUUGGACCAUUUCCCUAGAGGAGUAGUUAUAUAUAUAUACCAUUUUGUUAGUCCCGUUAUUAUAUUUUUUCUUAUGUUGCUUUAGACAGUAUUUGGUCAUUUUAUUGUUUCAUUUGGUUCUUUUAUCUAUGGAGGCUUUGUCUAAUAAACUAAGUUAUAAAUAUUUCCAGGACAGGAUUUUCUGUUGCUGCUACUAUUGUACUUUUUAAAAUAUCCCUACAGAAUUUGGGAUAAUAUACUACAUAGUAGACUUUCAAUAAAUGCUUGUUAAAAAAAUAAAUAGGAAUUACUCCCCCUUAGUAAACGGUAUUUAGUAUAAUGAAUAUUAAUAAUUCAUGAAAUUAAUGGAUGACCUUGAAAUCAUACUUGACUCUUUCAUACCCCACAUCUAUCGUGUCAGCAAAUUCUAUUAGUUCUACCUUCGCAAUACAUCUAGACUAAACACUUCUCAUCACUCACAUUGCAUUCACCCUUGUCCAAGCUCUCUUGCCUGCAGGGCCCUUAACUACAUCAGUUGGGCUAUACACUGCUCAUUACAGGAAGCACCAUCCACAGAGACUACAGGGUGAAUGAUGCUUCUUGGAGUUGUGUAGUGCAAUGAUCCUACUUGCCUGGAUUAUUGCAAAAGUCUCCUAACCUUUGUCCUCCACCAGUCUAUUCUCAACACAAUAGUCAGCUUGAUCCUACUAAACCUUAAGUCAGAUCAUGUCAUUCCUCUGAUUAAAACUCUAUUGUGGCUCUGUCUCAUUCAUGAUAAAAGAUUAAAGUCCUUGCAAGGCCCCAGAUGACAUCAUCCCACUCUUACCUCUCUAACUUUAUCUCCUCCUGCUCAUCCUACUUCUCACUCUGCUCUAGUCAUUUGGGCUUCUCACUGUUCCUCAGUUAUGCAAGGCAUGUUCCUGCCUCAGAGCAUUUGUACUUGCUCUUCCCUCUGCCUAGAAUGCUUUUCUCCUAGAUAUCCGAAUGGCUAACUCCCUCACCUCCUUCAGGUCUUUAUUCAAAUCUUACCUUCUCAGAGAGACUUUCCAUGACACCCAUAAUUCUCAUUGCAACCUCAUGCCCUAUCUGCUUUUCCACUUUAUUUUUCUCCUCAGCCCUUAUUAUCAUCUAACCCCCCAUAUGUUUUACUUAUUUAUCAUCUGUCUUUCCCCUACAGGAAUGCAAGCUCUAUGAAGGCAGAGAGCUUUGUCUCUUUUGUUUACCACCUUAUACCCUGCCCCCAGCACCUGAAACAGUAUCUGGCACAAGUUGAGAGCUUAAUAAAUACUUGCUGAAAUAAUGAAUGAGAGAUAAAGACAAACUGGCACUUAUAAACAUAAGCCACUUUCUUGUAUACACUAAGCAGAAUGAGUAACCAAUUAGUCUAAAGUCUUGAAAACAACUUGCCACUGUUAUAGGGCUCAAGAUUUUUGUAAGCCACUAUUAAUUUAUUAGAUUUAUGAUAAAGAUAAUAGGCUUGGCUUGUUUUACAAUUGGAGUAUUUUAGGUAAUAACUAUAUGAAAUUAUUUUUAAAAUAUGCAAUUCUAUAGUGAAGUAGAAUUCUAAGGAUGGAAUGGUUAAACAUUUAUUAGGAAAAAAAUUCUCACUUAAAACUUCUCUAGGAAAGGAGAAAUUGCAUUUAAAACUUUUCUAGGAAAAUUAUGGGCAAUUUAGAAGCCAUACAUUUCCAGAGAAACAGAAACCAUAGUUGGCCUAUCAAGAGAUUUCCUCUAGAACCACCUUCUACAUCAACUAGAUCCAUGCCUCAACACCAGCCAUCACUCAGAAAGAACCCCCUAAGUAUCAGGAAUACAAAUUCUUACACCACUAUGUAAUAUUUUUAAAUAGAGAAAAACAACCAAACAGUGAGGAAAUAUUUUACGAGCAAAAUAAACAGAGACAAAAAAAUACUGGGUAUCAUAAAACCAGGACAAUUUCAAAACAUAAUCCAAAGUAAAAGAUUAAUAUAACAAUGGGUUGCAAUUAUAUAAUGGACUUUCCUUGGAUACCAAAAUGCAUUAGAAAGCCCAUUUAAUUCUCAUGCCACUGUCUGGUCAUUUUAGUUCCCAUUCUACCAGAAAGUGAAAUAUCUGUGUUUUCUCACCUUGGUCUCUUUACUUCUAUGAAUUCCUGAGCUUUAGUAAAGACAAAUUCUCAAUCAGAA